rnacentral:rRNA from 1 species
UACGAAGGGGGGCUAGCGUUGUUCGGAAUUACUGGGCGUAAAGCGUGCGCAGGCGGCUUCUCAAGUCAGGGGUGAAAGCCCAGAGCUCAACUCUGGAAUUGCCUUUGAGACUGAGUGGCUUGAGUACGAGAGAGGUGAGUGGAAUUCCCCAGUGUAGAGGUGAAAUUCGUAGAUAUUCGGAAGAACACCAGUGGCGAAGGCGACUCACUGGCCCAUUACUGACGCUGAGGCGCGAAAAGCGUGGGGGAGCAAACAGG